AGAGUGGCUGGAGUAUCAAUGACUCCUGGAUUGGGUAAGCAUGAAAACUGGGGAGUCACCAAAGUCUGCCAGAGAGGGAUAAAAGGCAGUGAAGUAUGACCCCCAAUGGCAUCCUCUUUUACCUGACCAGCACCCUGCCUGCCCAGCCAGAAGGACCAGCCAGUGACCCCCUUCUGAAGCAACAUCACACUGAAAGAAGCCUUGACUGGCCACUGAUGGUGGACUCCGGC